rnacentral:rRNA from 1 species
GGUUAAGCGACUAAGCGUACACGGUGGAUGCCCUGGCAGUCAGAGGCGAUGAAGGACGUGCUAAUCUGCGAUAAGCGUCGGUAAGGUGAUAUGAACCGUUAUAACCGGCGAUUUCCGAAUGGGGAAACCCAGUGUGAUUCGUCACACUAUCAUUACGUGAAUACAUAGCGUAAUGAAGCGAACCGGGGGAACUGAAACAUCUAAGUACCCCGAGGAAAAGAAAUCAACCGAGAUUCCCCCAGUAGCGGCGAGCGAACGGGGAGCAGCCCAGAGUCUGAAUCAGCUUGUGUGUUAGUGGAACGGUCUGGAAAGUCCGACGGUACAGGGUGAUAGUCCCGUACACCAAAAUGCACAGGUUGUGAACUCGAAGAGUAGGGCGGGACACGUGGUAUCCUGUCUGAAUAUGGGGGGACCAUCCUCCAAGGCUAAAUACUCCUGACUGACCGAUAGUGAACCAGUACCGUGAGGGAAAGGCGAAAAGAACCCCGGCGAGGGGAGUGAAAAAGAACCUGAAACCGUGUACGUACAAGCAGUGGGAGCCUCUUUAUGGGGUGACUGCGUACCUUUUGUAUAAUGGGUCAGCGACUUAUAUUCUGUAGCAAGGUUAACCGUAUAGGGGAGCCGAAGGGAAACCGAGUCUUAACUGGGCGUUAAGUUGCAGGGUAUAGACCCGAAACCCGGUGAUCUAGCCAUGGGCAGGUUGAAGGUUGGGUAACACUAACUGGAGGACCGAACCGACUAAUGUUGAAAAAUUAGCGGAUGACUUGUGGCUGGGGGUGAAAGGCCAAUCAAACCGGGAGAUAGCUGGUUCUCCCCGAAAGCUAUUUAGGUAGCGCCUCGUGAAUUCAUCUUCGGGGGUAGAGCACUGUUUCGGCUAGGGGGUCAUCCCGACUUACCAACCCGAUGCAAACUGCGAAUACCGAAGAAUGUUAUCACGGGAGACACACGGCGGGUGCUAACGUCCGUCGUGAAGAGGGAAACAACCCAGACCGCCAGCUAAGGUCCCAAAGUCAUGGUUAAGUGGGAAACGAUGUGGGAAGGCACAGACAGCCAGGAUGUUGGCUUAGAAGCAGCCAUCAUUUAAAGAAAGCGUAAUAGCUCACUGGUCGAGUCGGCCUGCGCGGAAGAUGUAACGGGGCUAAACCAUGCACCGAAGCUGCGGCAGCGACACUAUGUGUUGUUGGGUAGGGGAGCGUUCUGUAAGCCGUUGAAGGUGUAUCGUGAGGUAUGCUGGAGGUAUCAGAAGUGCGAAUGCUGACAUAAGUAACGAUAAUGCGGGUGAAAAACCCGCACGCCGGAAGACCAAGGGUUCCUGUCCAACGUUAAUCGGGGCAGGGUGAGUCGACCCCUAAGGCGAGGCCGAAAGGCGUAGUCGAUGGGAAACAGGUUAAUAUUCCUGUACUUGGUGUUACUGCGAAGGGGGGACGGAGAAGGCUAUGUUAGCCGGGCGACGGUUGUCCCGGUUUAAGCAUGUAGGCGGAGGUUCCAGGUAAAUCCGGUACCUUUUAACGCUGAGGUGUGAUGACGAGGCACUACGGUGCUGAAGUAACAAAUGCCCUGCUUCCAGGAAAAGCCUCUAAGCAUCAGGUAACACGAAAUCGUACCCCAAACCGACACAGGUGGUCAGGUAGAGAAUACCAAGGCGCUUGAGAGAACUCGGGUGAAGGAACUAGGCAAAAUGGUGCCGUAACUUCGGGAGAAGGCACGCUGAUAUGUAGGUGAAGUGAUUUACUCAUGGAGCUGAAAUCAGUCGAAGAUACCAGCUGGCUGCAACUGUUUAUUAAAAACACAGCACUGUGCAAACACGAAAGUGGACGUAUACGGUGUGACGCCUGCCCGGUGCCGGAAGGUUAAUUGAUGGGGUUAUCCGUAAGGAGAAGCUCUUGAUCGAAGCCCCGGUAAACGGCGGCCGUAACUAUAACGGUCCUAAGGUAGCGAAAUUCCUUGUCGGGUAAGUUCCGACCUGCACGAAUGGCGUAAUGAUGGCCAGGCUGUCUCCACCCGAGACUCAGUGAAAUUGAACUCGCUGUGAAGAUGCAGUGUACCCGCGGCAAGACGGAAAGACCCCGUGAACCUUUACUAUAGCUUGACACUGAACACUGGUCCUUGAUGUGUAGGAUAGGUGGGAGGCUUUGAAGUGUGGACGCCAGUCUGCAUGGAGCCAUCCUUGAAAUACCACCCUUUAAUGGCUGGUGUUCUAACGUGGACCCGUAAUCCGGGUUGCGGACAGUGUCUGGUGGGUAGUUUGACUGGGGCGGUCUCCUCCUAAAGAGUAACGGAGGAGCACGAAGGUUAGCUAAUCCUGGUCGGACAUCAGGAGGUUAGUGCAAAGGCAUAAGCUAGCUUGACUGCGAGAGUGACGGCUCGAGCAGGUGCGAAAGCAGGUCUUAGUGAUCCGGUGGUUCUGAAUGGAAGGGCCAUCGCUCAACGGAUAAAAGGUACUCCGGGGAUAACAGGCUGAUACCGCCCAAGAGUUCAUAUCGACGGCGGUGUUUGGCACCUCGAUGUCGGCUCAUCACAUCCUGGGGCUGAAGUAGGUCCCAAGGGUAUGGCUGUUCGCCAUUUAAAGUGGUACGCGAGCUGGGUUUAGAACGUCGUGAGACAGUUCGGUCCCUAUCUGCCGUGGGCGCUGGAGAAUUGAGGGGGGCUGCUCCUAGUACGAGAGGACCGGAGUGGACGCAUCACUGGUGUUCGGGUUGUCAUGCCAAUGGCAUUGCCCGGUAGCUAAAUGCGGAAGAGAUAAGUGCUGAAAGCAUCUAAGCACGAAACUUGCCCCGAGAUGAGUUCUCCCUGAGACUAUAAGUCUCCUGAAGGAACGUUAAAGACGAUGACGUUGAUAGGUCGGGUGUGUAAGCGUAGCGAUACGUUGAGCUAACCGAUACUAAUGAACCGUGAGGCUUAACCUU